rnacentral:rRNA from 1 species
AGUGAACGCUGGCGGUAGGCCUAACACAUGCAAGUCGAACGGCAGCACAGUAAGAGCUUGCUCUUACGGGUGGCGAGUGGCGGACGGGUGAGGAAUACAUCGGAAUCUACUUUUUCGUGGGGGAUAACGUAGGGAAACUUACGCUAAUACCGCAUACGACCUACGGGUGAAAGCAGGGGAUCUUCGGACCUUGCGCGAUUGAAUGAGCCGAUGUCGGAUUAGCUAGUUGGCGGGGUAAAGGCCCACCAAGGCGACGAUCCGUAGCUGGUCUGAGAGGAUGGUCAGCCACACUGGAACUGAGACACGGUCCAGACUCCUACGGGAGGCAGCAGUGGGGAAUAUUGGACAAUGGGCGCAAGCCUGAUCCAGCCAUACCGCGUGGGUGAAGAAGGCCUUCGGGUUGUAAAGCCCUUUUGUUGGGAAAGAAAAGCAGCAGGUUAAUACCCUGCUGUUCUGACGGUACCCAAAGAAUAAGCACCGGCUAACUUCGUG